ensembl:misc_RNA 7SK 7SK RNA
GGAUAGGGAUGGCAGUCUGGCUGUGACAUCUCUCCUGUACUGAUCUCCAGGAUUGGUUCAGCUGAUCUGGCUGGCUAAGCAGGUGUACUCUUCCUUCCUCAUGGUUCCAAGUGCGUCCCUCCCAAAGCUGGGUACUCAAUUGAAGUGGACAACCUUCCCCAAGAGAGAAGAACUGUUCUUUGGUGAAGCUGUGCUCACUUGAUAGAACCUCCAAACAAGCUCCCAAGGUGAGAGGAUAGAGUUCAGGGAUGGAAGCAAAAGUUGGAACAGGAAAACUGAGUGAACUUCUGUAUAAGGAGCACAUAGACCUCCAAUCUUU